GCGAGACCGCAGCAGGCGGACUCAUCUCUCGACCCCAAACGGCGCGACG
rnacentral:rRNA from 1 species